AAGACUAUACUUUCAGGGAUUGUUUCUAUAGUUUGUAACUAGAGAAGCUUCUAUGAACUGUGUAGAGUACCAGAAACCACGAGGAUGAGACAUGCCGUUCUCUCCUGAGCGUGAAGCUGGCUUUUGGUGUUGCUAUUUUCUGUAACUGCCACUUGUCAUUGAUGAUCAUUCUUCUCUUCCUUUGAGAGAGUUAGAGAGAGGGAUCACAGACUGAGUGAA
ensembl:snoRNA U3 Small nucleolar RNA U3